UUUUGACGCAAAGCGAGCAGAAAAAAAGAUGGAGAACAAUACAUACGCAAAAAUCGAUCAAACGCUGAGAAUUUUUUUGUUGAAAUGCAAAUCGACAUUACAUGCAAAAUAACCAAAUUGGCGCAACGACAAACGACUUGGCCGAAAGAAAAGUGCCAACGCGCGUUUAUGUAACCCCAAAAUGUGUGUGUGUGCCAGCAGCGUGUAUGUGUGCGAGUGCCUCGGCACAAAGAAGAAUGCGCAAAGAGAAGAAUGCGAAAGCAAAACGGAAUUGAAAAUGGCGGGGGUGGGAGAACAUGCCGGCAGACGCAACAACAACAUGUUUGACCGUGACGUAGUUUAGUUGUUGCGCCUGUCUGUGGGAAAGUGGACGAGGUGGGCCGAUAGAGGGGAGCGGAUGCGGUUUAGCCUGAUAAGCUACAAAUGAAUAAAUGUACAUGUAAAUGUGCAAGUUCACUUGAGAUUACCCAAUUAUCAAUAUGUCACGUCGCCACAACAACGAAUCAAGACGGGUGCUUUCUGUAGUCUCUAUCUAGCCGAAGAACAGUUUUGGUGCUACAGGGGAUACUAAAAUCUUGAACGUAAAUAAGAGUAGUCGGGACUCGAAGAUUGUUUGGGGACAACUAUGUUAAAGUUUGAGAAAAGUUCAUUUCUUUUGUACGUCAACGACGGAAAACAUAUUCAGUCUUAACCAUUUAGUGAUGAGGUUUUUUAUUCAAAUUAUAGAAAUCGUAUUAUCAUGGGACUAAUUUAAAUCAUUUAAAGGGCAUAUCAAAUUUUGAAAAUUUGUGUUUUUAGCGAUAGCAUGGGGUACGCUCCCUAGGGUCCUAUACUUUACUAAUAGAAUUCCGAGCCAACGGAUAUGAAACUGGGAAAUACUUACAAACAUGUUACAUACAGAUGCUUCAAGGGGUCUUGCUUAUCAAAGUGAGGGAUACAAAGUGUUGUUGUAAAUCUAACUUUUAUUUGCCAGUUCGCCUUAGAGAGUGGCCACUGUACGUGAGCAAAUGAGCGAGAAUGAAUGCACAAAGCAUUUUUCUUUGGCUUAGGCUCGAAUGAGUGUGUAUGCGUUGCCAUUUUUUGUUGCUGCGUUGUUGUUGUGCGGUGCAUUGUGGGUGGGAGGUAGUGGGUGGUGGUGCGGCUGGGUGACCGCUGAUUGAGAUUGAGUAGGCUGGCCAGCCAGAGCGCAUGUUUAUUAAUCAACGGCUUUGUCUUUUCGCCUGCAUUUCUUUCGCCAGGGCGAUGCAGUGGUGGGUGGGAGUGGGAUGGCUAGAGAUGGCGUGCAGGUAAACACGUUGGGUAGAAGAAGAGGGGCUGAUAGUGGAAGGAGGAGCAGCAUAAAGGUAUUAUGACUGCGCAGUCAAUGUUCACAUGUAUGCAUAUCUAUGCUUUGUCGAUUAUUUUGUGCAUAAGUUUUCUUACGUAUGCAUGUGUAUCUUUUGUGCGUUGUACGCGUGUGUGUGCAUUUGUGCGGAUGAUGCGCGCGCUAUAAUAUUGUUAUAGAUACAUUUUGGUAUCAAAUAACCUGAAAUUACAACAUGCAGCAAACACAUACAUACACACACACAAACACAUGUUGCCGUGUUUGUCACAAUUGAAGGCCGGCAAUAACAACAACGCAAGCAAAAGGCAAGAACGAGAAGCAAGCAGCAUUGCCAGCUGAAGAGAUUAAAAACUUCAGGUGCUGCUGCUACUUUCAGGAUGAAAAGAAAGUUGUACAUGCGGCAUUGCAGUGCAAUAAAUAAUUUUAUUCUGAACUAUGGCUUGUAAUAUUUACUAAUUGCCAAGUAAAACUGCAUUUUAAAAAAGCCAACAGCCAGCUAAGGCACAAAAAUGCGCGCACAUGGCAACACUGGCGUCACAUACAUAUACACACUCAUACAAAGAAUUUGCUUAUGGCGAUCAAUUUCUUUUUUGUUCUUUUCUUGUUGAUGCGGCUCUGCUCUUCUUCUUAUAGCGCUCCUUAUGUUAUAUGGCGUUUAUACACAAAUUGAAACUAGAUUUACAUGAUGGAUGCACUUACACACAAACAAUGGGUCUAAUUUAUAAUUUUAAUUUAAGUUUAUGGCGCGUUUUCUGUCUUACCUGAUUUACUUUGCGUGCGCGUCGCUCCAGUUCUAUUCUCUUCUCCAUUGCAGCCGCAGUUGUUUGUUUAUUUUGUAUAUUUGGUUCUUUUCCCUGCACUUUUUUGUGUUUUGUGUGUUUCCUUCUUUUCUCAGCGCACGCACCAAAGGCAAAAAAGACUCGCACUCACACACGGGCGCGCUCGCACACGCUCACUCACACAGACGCGCAGCCUUGCAAAUUUUUCCUUUUGAGCUUCUUUCGGUAACUUGGAUGCCGCUUUUCCCACUUUUCGUAGAUUUGUGUGGCUAAAAAGGAAAACAGUAACGGAGUGAGAAAAUUAGUUGCUGCACAUGACGCGCCUUUUCAAACCAGCUUUUAGAAAACAAUUCGAAGGUUUUCCGACGUUUAACACGUUACCGGCCGAAGGAAAUCUUUAUCCUGUUAGCAUGCACUCACCUGGCGAUGCUGAAUUUUUAAACACUCGGAAUCAAUUUUUAAUUGUAUUUUCAACCAAAGCAAAUAGAGGUGGGGAAACGUCGAUGCCAACAUCGAGGUAAUCGAUAAUUUCAGAAUAUCGGCUUAUCGAUGUUUAACAGGGAUUAUCGAUGCUUAUCCGUCCAUCUCUGUUAGUUCGACGUUUCGCUAACAUUUCGUUCUUAA